ACCCCGCCCUCAGCCCCCUAGCCCUGCACCAUGAGACCCCGCCUCCAGCUGACCCUGCCUUGAGAAGCCAGGCUCCGCCCCAGUCUAUGACCCGCUGCCCAGAGCUUCCAAGCCCCGCCCUCAGCCCCCAUUCCCGCGCCAGGACCCGCCCGCAACUCCAGACAGACCUCUACCCUGUUCGGCCACGCCUCGCUCCAAUCCCCACUUUCAGGCUUUUCCUCUCACUUCCUAGGCCUGGUCCCCCUGCCCCAGCCCGGCUUUGUCAGGCCCCGCCCCCAGCUCCGGCCCUUCUGAGCACCUGGCGGUUCUCCAGCCAAGCUGUUGGUUUCUGCAGCACGUUAUCUCUGACCUUUUAACCCAGCAGCGCCUGCUGGGCGCUCUCUCAGGCUACUACUUCAUCUGGUCCACUUCUGGUCCCUCCUUCCCAGUCCUAGAUCUCUUCUUUGUGAUACUCUAGCUUGCUCUUCUGCCUACACCCCGUUUUUCAGAUGCACUGCUAGGUUCUGCAAAAGGGGCUUGGAUCCUUCCGCAGGGCUCAACACCCUAAUACUUGAGCAGUUGGAGUGAGUCAGACCAACCUAGAGCAUUCUGGGGCCUCGGCAUACUGAAGGAUUGACCACAGGAUUGAGGGGGAGGAAGGGGAUCACCUGAAUAUGUCAGCUGUAGUUUUGUGAGGUGCAAGGUUCAGGCAAGACAUAGGCGAUGAAGCUGAGGUACAGGUCAGCGUGGGUGACAGCUGUUGACCCAGGGCAAUGCAGGAGGAGACUGGGCCUCUCCUUGCCUAGUACAAUCAAAGGAAAGACAAUUCUAGGGCAAAUGGUUGCCAGUAGAAGGGAAGAGGCUUCUAACAGCUUGUCAUCUUUGAAAAAGAAAAUGUUAAAUGAAGACCACAAUCCUGUCUGUGAGGACUGGGGUUGGAGGCUUAGCUCAGCUGAUAGACUGCUUGUCUAGCAUACAGUAAUCCCUGGGUGUGAUCUCCAGUACCACAUGAGCCAAGGGUGAUAAUGUAGACCUCAGAGCUCAGCACUCAAGAAGCCAGGGAAGCUAAUCUGAGCUACAGGAAACCCUCACUCAAAAAACAUAAAAUAAAAAGCCAGGGCAGACCCAAGGCCCACUACAGGGAAUUGAGAUCUUCCUGGUCAAGACAACCUGUCACUGGGAAUCCAGUUUUCGGUCCCUUCCUCAGAGGGUUCCCAUUCCUGAGUGUACCACCCACUCACUAUUCAUGUAUUUUUUUUUUCUCCUUGCAUUUUUGAGACAAGGUAUUUCUGUUUAGCCCCUCCUGGCCUCAAACUCUGCAAUCCUCCUACCUCAGCCUCCUGCAUGCUGGGAUUACAGGUGUGCACCACUAAGUUGCGAGGGGGGGGGAUAUUUAUCUUUCAUUCUCUUCCUGUCCUUCUGAAGCUUGUGUUGCCUAUGUGGAAGAAGAAAGACACACGAGGUAUUUAUUCCCAAGGUUAGGGGGACAGGGGAAGAAGCCAAGGCAUGGCCCGCACGAGAAAAUAGGACAUUUCUAAACUGGUGAGUACAGUGUGUAUUGUCAGGGAAGGGAACCCUAGUGAACCCUGGGCCUCAAGCCUGGGAGAUUGGGGCUCCCAUGUUUUCUCUUCUUACAGAUGGUUUCUUUGGUUGUUGUUUUUUGUUUUUCAAUUCUUUGUUAUUUUUAAUUUUGAUUUAUUUAUUUUAUUUUAUUCCCAAGUGCUCAGGACAUGUGAGCCACUUAUGUUGAUGGUGACAUGGGCAUCUAAGCCAGAGAUCCACAGAGAAGUGGGGGAUUUGAGUGGGCCAGGGAGAAUUUUUAGUGGAAGUUACAGCCAAAACAGUACUGCUGGGAAAGGAUGGGGUGCCAGCCUUUCAUUUGCACCUGAUCCCCAACCUGAGAGCAGUUAGGUGUUCUUGGAAGAGGCUGCUCCUGGCUUUUUGGAGCUGAGCAAAUGGAAGGACUAAAAGGAGCGUCAAGGCUGGCAAGAUGUCUGCCAGCAAGCCUGACAGCCUGAGUUCAAUCCCCAGGACCUACCUAGUGGAAUAAGAGAACCAACUCCCACAAGUUUUCUUUUUACUUCCAUAUGUACAUCUACACAUAUACAUGUGAGCACAAAAUAAAUAAAUUUAAAUGUAAUCAAAAGUAGUAUCAGGGGACAGCAGUGUAGAGUCCACAAAAGUCUCCUAAGGCUCUCUGGGUAAAGGUGAAACCCAUUUUGGACCUUGGUUGCAUGGGAGGAGCAAGGUGGAGGUGUGGACGAUAUGGAAGGUGGACAGUCUGGAAGGCCUGACCCAAGAGCAGUCAAAAGAAGGGAGAUGGUACACUCGAACGAUUUAGAAACAAAAUUGAUUGGGAUUAGAGGGACAGGGGAAGCCAAGAUAUGGACCGCACGAAACAAUAGGACAUUUCUAAACUGGUGAGUACAGUGUGUAUUGUCAGGGAAGGGAACCCUAGUGAACCCUGGGCCUCAAGCCUGGGAGACCGGGGCUCCCAUGUUUUCUCUUCUUACAGACUUUUCUUUGAUUGUUGUUUUUUGUUUUUCAGUUCUCUGUUAUUUUUAUUUUUGAGCCGGGAUCUCUUAUAUCUCAAGCUGGCCUCAAAAUCCCUGUGUACCUGAGGAUGACCUUGACUUUCUGAUCCUCAUGCCUCCACUAAUUUCUAAACUCUGGGAUUAUAGGUGUGAGACACCUUAAGAGAUGUUUUGGGGUGUGUGUGUGUGUGUGUGUGUGUGUGUGUGUGUGUGUGUGUGUUUCCCAGGGCUUCUUACACAAUUGGAAAACACUCUCCCACUGAGCUGCAUCCCAUUACAGCCCCCCAACCCCAACACUCACAGGCAGACUUUCACACCCUUUAUGAUCUUCCCAUCCAUGUAAGGCUCAUCUGAUUAAGGAAGCUGAUAAACACUGGACACAGGAAGCAACUCUGAGCUGCUCUCCUCUUCCCCUCUAUUUUAAUUACUUUUCUGUUGCUACAAUAAAACACUCUGACAAAACCACUUUAGGAAGGAAGGGUUUAUUUUGGUUCACAGUUCCAAGAUAUACAGUCUGACAUCGAGGGGAAGUCACAGUGGCAGGGGGAUGGGGCGUCUGGUCACAGUCUGUGUGCAGUCAAGAAACAGAGAGGGAUGAACGAGGGUGCUUAGCUCAUCUCCACCCCCACCCCCACCCCGCCCUCCAGACAGGGUUUCUCUGUGUAGUUUUGGUGCCUGUCCUGGAUCUCACUCUGUAGACCAGGCUGGCCUCAGACUCACAGAGAUCCGCCUGGCUCUGCCUCCCGAGUGCUGUCACCGCCACCAGCUCAUCUUGCUCUUUUUAUAUACUCCAGGAUCCCCAGCCAGGGAGCAGUGCCACCACAGUGGACAGGUCUUCCCACUUCAGUCUAGUGAAGACACUCAGGCAUAUCCACAGGCCUCUCUCUCCCAGGAUUGCACAUGGGAUGAAAUGAAGGGCCUUGAGAAAGGAGAUGACUCUGAACUCCCUGGGGCCUGGGGUCACCACAAGGUCCUCACAAUGUUGCUUGCAGGCAUGAACCUGCGUCCCAGUGAUGCCUGAACCCAGACCAGACUCCGAGCCCCAACUGUGGCGUCUUCUUCCACAUACUUGGACUUGAGGGUAGUGAGUAAGCUGCCCUCCAGCACGAUGGGGUCUUCUCCAAUGCCCAGGCUGGUCUUGAGCUCCCGAGAACAGCUGGAACAAGAGGUUGUGCCCCACACUGGACUCGCAGUACAAUACUAAUUGUCACUGUGACAGGAUUGAGAGGAGGUUCUCUAGGAGAUGAUUUCACCAGAAGGACUCUGCCCUCAUGGAUGGAUUUUUGCAACUCUAUUGCUGAAUAACAUUUCAUUGUGUGCAUGUCCACCUAUUGAUGGACACCUAAGAUGAUUCUGUAAUCAUGAACAGAGCAGCAGUGAACAUGGGUGUGAAAUAUCUCUGUGUCAAGAUAUCAAGUCCCAUGAAUAGUACAGCUGGAUCAUAUGGUUAGUUCCAUUCCUGGCUUCUGUAGAAUCCCUAAUAUUGAAUUCCAUGAUGGCCAUAUCAGUUUACACACCCAUCAGUAGCAAAUAAAGAUCAAAGACGAGACUCUUGAAAAGACA